rnacentral:rRNA from 1 species
UUCAGCAGGGACGAAGCUAACGUGACGGUACCUGCAGAAGAAGCGCCGGCUAACUACGUGCCAGCAGCCGCGGUAAUACGUAGGGCGCAAGCGUUGUCCGGAAUUAUUGGGCGUAAAGAGCUCGUAGGCGGUUUGUCGCGUCUGUCGUGAAAGCCCACGGCUUAACCGUGGGUCUGCGGUGGAUACGGGCAGACUAGAGGCAGGUAGGGGAGAAUGGAAUUCCCGGUGUAGCGGUGAAAUGCGCAGAUAUCGGGAGGAACACCGGUGGCGAAGGCGGUUCUCUGGGCCUGUACUGACGCUGAGGAGCGAAAGCGUGGGGAGCGAACAGGAUUAGAUACCCUGGUAGUCCACGCCGUAAACGUUGGGCGCUAGGUGUGGGGUUCUUCCACGGAUUCCGCGCCGUAGCUAACGCAUUAAGCGCCCCGCCUGGGGAGUACGGCCGCAAGGCUAAAACUCAAAGGAAUUGACGGGGGCCCGCACAAGCGGCGGAGCAUGUUGCUUAAUUCGACGCAACGCGAAGAACCUUACCAAGGCUUGACAUCGCUGGAAAUCCCGCAGAGAUGCGGGGUCCUUUUUGGGCCGGUGAUAGGUGGUGCAUGGCUGUCGUCAGCUCGUGUCGU